rnacentral:rRNA from 1 species
CCUACGGGGGGCUGCAGUGGGGAAUAUUGCACAAUGGGGGAAACCCUGAUGCAGCGACGCCGCGUGAGUGAAGAAGUAUUUCGGUAUGUAAAGCUCUAUCAGCAGGGAAGAAAAUGACGGUACCUGACUAAGAAGCCCCGGCUAACUACGUGCCAGCAGCCGCGGUAAUACGUAGGGGGCAAGCGUUAUCCGGAUUUACUGGGUGUAAAGGGAGCGUAGGUGGCAUGUCAAGUCAGAUGUGAAAGCCCGGGGCUCAACCCCGGGAUUGCAUUUGAAACUGAUAUGCUAGAGUGCAGGAGAGGUAAGUGGAAUUCCUAGUGUAGCGGUGAAAUGCGUAGAUAUUAGGAGGAACACCAGUGGCGAAGGCGGCUUACUGGACUGUAACUGACACUGAGGCUCGAAAGCGUGGGGAGCAAACAGGCUUAGAUACCCGUGUAGUC